GGCUGGCCAGAGUGCAUUAGUGUUUACAACUAAUGGAUCACAACCAGUUACAAAUUUCUUUGUUCCUUCUCCACUCCCACUGCUUCACUUGACUAGUCUAAA
rnacentral:Y_RNA from 1 species